rnacentral:rRNA from 1 species
GACAGAGGAGCCAAGCGUUGUCCGGACUGACUGGGCGUAAAGCGUGCGCAGGCGGCGCGUUAAGACAGGUGUGAAAGCCCCGAGCUUAACUUGGGAAUUGCGCUUGUGACUGGCGUGCUGGAGUGUGGCAGAGGGAGGUGGAAUUCCACGUGUAGCAGUGAAAUGCGUAGAGAUGUGGAGGAACACCGAUGGCGAAGGCAGCCCCCUGGGUCAAGAUUGACGCUCAUGCACGAAAGCGUGGGGAGCAAACAGG